CGCUUUCUUUCUCCCUCCCCGAUCCUUUCCCUCUCUCUCACAUUCUCUCGUUCUUCUAACUUUCGUAGCAAAAGCCGCGUUCGGUGCUUUGGUUUGUUGUAAAGCAAAGACUUGUGUCCAGAGCCUCAGGGACUGAGGCGAAGUUUCAGGGGCCGCUCUGUGCUCUGCAAUUAGAUUGACACAUGUACAACAUCCCCAGCUAUUCAAGGGGGUUCGCAGGGACACUCCAAGGGGAUUUUUUUUUUUCCCUUUUUCUUUUUGGGUGGAAGAUAUUAAAGAGGUAUCUGUUGUUUGGCAAUUUUGCUAAGUCUGUCUUCAUUACUUCAACAUUGUGCAUUUGCUAAUUUGGAAGCCCCUUCCUAUUGACAGCUCUGCUCCAUACACCUGCAAGCAAUUUGCAGAGCUCCAAUAUAGGAGAAUUGCAGAGAUGGCAGCUCGCACCUAUUUUAUUUUUUUUUUUCUUCGCUUUUCUCAAUGCACAGCAAAUUUGGCUUUCAGUGCGUUAUCUCUUUUGUUAAUGCAAAAAGAUUCCCUGGGCGAAAAAAUUGCUCAUAAUUACCAGAGAGAUGGGGAAACUGCAUUAGAAUAAAUAAACCUGAAAUUACUG